rnacentral:sRNA from 1 species
AGGGCCUGGAGCACAUAAGGUGUGACCUUUUCAUUCCCGUUGUCAUGGAGGGCCACAUCUGCCAGAGCCUGGAGUCUGCGAAGGCCGGGACCCGGUUCCCCGGCCCGCCGUGGGGAGUGUGCAAACCCGAGAGAACUGGGUAAGUUGGGGUCGGCUUGCAGUUUGGGUUACCCCGAGGGCGGUGUACGUCGGUAAGAUUGUAACAGUAUUACUGGAAGACUUACUCGACUGUCCUGAUGAUACUUGUAAUAGGAAGUGCCGUCAGAAGCGAUAACUGACGACGUCUAACGUCUAUCUGACCGCAGUCGCUGAAACCUCUACAACUUAGUUGACCGUAACUGCCAGAGCCCUGCCCUGAAUUCCUGUCCUUACUCCCUCUUUCAGAUUGCGUACCCACUGCAGAGGGCUGAAGACGGGGUAGCCACGAGGUAAGAGGCUCUCUGGGGCAGGGUUUAACAUGGAACGUAGUUUUGUCAUCUUAAAUGCACGGAAAUUGGCGUUUUGACAGUUUUCUACGUUUAGGUGUUUAUACACUUCAGGGUAACGUAUCAAGUCAUUGCAUAGGGUGGAACUUAAAUAGAAACUGGAGAUGGCUGCUUCAGCCACAGUCCUAACCUAGAACUGCAUUUAAAGCAAACUAAUAUGCAGAAACAAACUCCUUCGUUAAGAAAUGUCUCCAGUAGCAGGGUUAGCUUAAGUUUCAGGUAGGGUUUAGAUCUGCGGUUGGAGCAGUACUGGAGGGCUGUGAGGUGCUUGACUGCUCUGAUGAAAUCACUAAUAGGAAGUGCCGUCAGAAGCGAUAACUGACGAAGACUACUCCUGUCUGAUUGCAGUCAAGUCUUCACCACUUGCUGGUUCCCAGGAGUAAACUUGUGUGAACGAUGACCUAAUUGCUAUAUUCACCUAGGUUGCAAAUUCGUGAAGAAUCAGCAGCAUGUUUGGCAGCUGAGUAUUGGAGCCAGGAGCCUGCCAUGAGGUUUUGAGAACAGGGUGCUGUUUUAGAGCUGGCAGCAGCAUCUCAGCCCAAGAGAAGGUUAUAUUCCCAGAGGAUGUCAGUCCCAAGGACCAGUAGCUGCCAUCAGUUUGGAUUCUGAAAACUAACCGGCAUCAACAUUGGGUGUAGAAACAUGCUUGCCUUGUGUAUCAGAGGACAUGCUCAGCAGAUCCAAGAGAUAUAUUUGGCAACUUUUUCUAGAAAAGGCACAUUAGGUAUCAUUCAUUACAUUCUUGAGUUUUUUUGGGGUUUUUUUUUUUUUUGAGACAGUCUUGCUGUGUUGCCCAGGCUGGAGUGUGGUGGCACAAUCACAGCUCAUUGCAGCCUCAAUCACCCAGGCCUAAGCAAUCCUCCCACCUUGUAGCUGGGACUACAGCUCACAGCACACCUGGCUAAAAUUUUUUUUUGUUGAGACGGAUUCUCUAUGUUGCUCAGGCUGGUCUCAAGCUCCUGGGCUUAGAUGGUCCUCCUGCCUCAGCUUCCAAAGGCACAGGCCAAGUUGUAGCUUUGUCCCUUGCCAUCAUGCCCAACAAGAGGUUCUAUACCUUUUAAUGAACUGACUUUCAUAAAUUGGUUAUGUUGGUGGGCAAGUUCUUUAAGCUGGAAAUUGUAAAUUCCUCCUGAAAUGUUUUUUCAUGCAGUUACCAUGAACUAAUACUACAA